GCUUACGGCCAUACCACCCUGUCUUCACCCAAUCUCGUCUGAUCUCUGAAGCUAAGCUGGGUUGGGCCUGGUUAGUACUUGGAUGGGAGACUGCCUGGGAACACCACGUGCUGUAAACU
rnacentral:rRNA from 1 species